CUUCUUUGGCCAAGCGGGGGCCCGGGCUGUCACCAUUCCCGGCGAGCCCGCGACCAAGCAGGCGGCGGAGGCGGCGCAGGCCGAGAGCUCCCGCCCCUCUGACCCUGAGAGAAAGGUCGCAGCGCCCACGGCUGCCUAGAACCCGAAAGAAGAGGAGCGGGGUGCGGGGACACAGAGUUGCUCAAGAAAGUGAGCUAUGCGCAGUGCUCCGGGAGAGCUUGUCUCAAACCAGGUCCCAAGUGAGGGCAGAGGCGUAACUUCGUACUGGGCAGUUUAAAAGCCAGAAGCGGUGUCUCUGGGAGGCCAAGGCGGGCGGAUCACCUGAGGUCGGGAGUUCAAGACCAGCCUGACCAACAUGGAGAAACCCCGUCUCUACUAAAGAUACAAAAUUAGCCGGGCGUGGUGGUGCAUGCCUGUAAUUCCAGCUACUCGGGAGGCUGAAGCAGGAGACUCGCUUGAACCAGGGAGGUGGAGGUUCCGGUGGGCCGAGAUUGCGCCAUUGCACUCCAGCCUGAGCAACAACAGCAAAACUCCGUCUCAAAAAAAAAAAAAAGUUUUAUAUAAACUCCAUAAGGCUGUUAGAAUAA